rnacentral:rRNA from 1 species
AUUGAACGCUGGCGGCAGGCCUAACACAUGCAAGUCGAACGAGUGGCGGACGGGUGAGUCAUGUCUGGGAAACUGCCCGAUGGAGGGGGAUAACUACUGGAAACGGUAGCUAAUACCGCAUACCAUCGGAUGUGCCCAGAUGGGAUGCGCUAGUCGGUGGGGUAACGGCUGACCUAGGACACGAGCCCUAGCUGGUCUGAGAGGAUGACCAGCCACACUGGAACUGAGACACGGUCCAGACUCCGACGGGAGGCAGCAGUGGGGAAUAUUGCACAAUGGGCGCAAGCCUGAUGCAGCAAUGCCGCGUGUAUGAAGAAGGCCUUCGGGUUGUAAAGUACUUUCAGCGAGGAGGCGUUACUCGCAGAAGAAGCAUCGGCUAACUCCGUGCCAGCAGCCGCGGUAAUUC